GUAUGGACCAGGUCCCCUCUACUUCCUGUAUUGGAUCAGGUGUCCUCUACUUCCUGUAUUGGAUCAGGUGUCCUCUACUUCCUGUAUGGAUCAGGUGUCCCCUCUACUUCCUGUAUGGAUCAGGUCCCCUCUACUUCCUGUAUGGAUCAGGUGUCCUCUACUUCCUGUAUGGAUCAGGCCCCCUCUACUUCCUGUAUGGAUCAGGCCCCCUCUACUUCCUGUAUGGAUCAGGUGUCCUCUACUUCCUGUACGGAUCAGGUCCCCUCUACUUCCUGUAUUGAAUCAGGUCCCCUCUACUUCCUGUAUGGAUCAGGUCCCCUCUACUUCCUGUAUGGAUCAGGUCCCCUCUACUUCCUGUAUGGAUCAGGUGUCCUCUACUUCCUGUAUGGACCAGGUCCCCUCUACUUCCUGUAUGGAUCAGGUGUCCCCUCUACUUCCUGUAUGGAUCAGGUGUCCUCUACUUCCUGUAUGGAUCAGGUGUCCUCUACUUCCUGUAUGGAUCAGGUGCUCCCUCUACUUCCUGUAUGGAUCAGGUGUCCUCUACUUCCUGUAUGGAUCAGGCCCCCUCUACUUCCUGUAUUGAAUCAGGUCCCCUCUACUUCCUGUAUGGAUCAGGUGUCCUCUACUUCCUGUAUGGAUCAGGUGCUCCCUCUACUUCCUGUAUGGAUCAGGCCCCCUCUACUUCCUGUAUGGAUCAGGUGUCCCCUCUACUUCCUGUAUUGAAUCAGGUCCCCUCUACUUCCUGUAUCGGAUCAAGUCCCCCUCUACUUCCUGUAUGGAUCAGGUGUCCCCUCUACUUCCUGUAUUGAAUCAGGUCCCCUCUACUUCCUGUAUCGGAUCAAGUCCCCCUCUACUUCCUGUAUGGAUCAGGUGCCCUCUACCUCCUGUAUGGAUCAGGUGUCCUCUACUUCCUGUAUGGACCAGGUCCCCUCUACUUCCUGUAUUGAAUCAGGUCCCCUCUACUUCCUGUAUGGAUCAGGUCCCCUCUACUUCCUGUAUGGAUCAGGUGUCCUCUACUUCCUGUAUUGAAUCAGGUCCCCUCUACUUCUUGUAUGGAUCAGGUCCCCUCUACUUCCUGUAUUGAAUCAGGUCCCCUCUACUUCUUGUAUUGGAGCAGGUGACCCCUCUGCCUCCAACCCAGCUUCCUGAUAACGUGCACUCUUGGCGACAGCCACUGAAGCAAGUGCUUGG